rnacentral:rRNA from 1 species
AUUGAACGCUGGCGGCAUGCCUUACACAUGCAAGUCGAACGGCAGCACGGGAGCAAUCCUGGUGGCGAGUGGCGAACGGGUGAGUAAUAUAUCGGAACGUGCCCAGUCGUGGGGGAUUACGCAGCGAAAGCUGUGCUAAUACCGCAUACGAUCUAAGGAUGAAAGCGGGGGAUCGCAAGACCUCGCGCGAUUGGAGCGGCCGAUAUCAGAUUAGCUAGUUGGUGGGGUAAAGGCCCACCAAGGCGACGAUCUGUAGCUGGUCUGAGAGGACGACCAGCCACACUGGAACUGAGACACGGUCCAGACUCCUACGGGAGGCAGCAGUGGGGAAUUUUGGACAAUGGGCGCAAGCCUGAUCCAGCAAUGCCGCGUGCAGGAUGAAGGCCUUCGGGUUGUAAACUGCUUUUGUACGGAACGAAACGGCCCUUUCUAAUACAGGGGGCUAAUGAUGGUACCGUAAGAAUAAGCACCGGCUAACUACGUGCCAGCAGCCGCAGUAA